rnacentral:lncRNA from 1 species
UACUGAGGGCACAUCUCUGGCAGCACCUCUGUCCCACGUCCUUCCUGAGGAAGAGAGUUCAGGUCAACUUAAAACGAUAGAUUCCCAAAUUCUUCCCUGAAUCCGACCAGACAUGACAUUCACUUGGUUUACCAAGGACAUAAGUGUACAACCAAAUAAACAAAGCCCGUGAACAUGCGAGUUCCUGAAGCCUCAGUCUGAACAAUCAGAAACGUGACAUGAGACAGAUGUCAGCGGGGAGGGUGCUGGGAAGUGACCGUGUAUUUGGCAUCAGCAGCUUACAGCAUCUAUUUGUACCUGUGUUUCAGUCCUUCCUCCAAUGCUCAAGUCGAAGGUUUCUAUGAGAUGAAAGCAAACAAAUCCAAAGUUCCAGACUAGGUGAGCACAAAGCAGUGGUCUCCAGCCCCCCAAACUGUUUCAAAAGGCAAGUCGGUCCCUAACACACCACAGUUCUGCACACACAGCCUGCCAUGUUUCCAUCUUAAGCCACGGCUUUAAACACAAAUGCACUUUUCAUAUCCUUUAAUUAUGCUUGCCAUCGCCAGAUCUAGUAGCAUCGCGCAUUGAGCAGGGCUAUCCCCUGGCUUCCAUGUUAAAUGUUUUAUGCUAAAUUGACUUCGAGUAUCAGCGACACACAGGUGCCUACAGACCUGAAAGUG